rnacentral:rRNA from 1 species
GACGGGUGCGGAACACGUGGGCAACCUGCCCCGAGGUGGGGGAUAGCCGGUGGAAACACCGGGUAAUUCCGCAUGAGGUCACGGACCGGAGGGUGCGUGGGGAAAGGGUCUUCGGACUCGCCUUGGGAGGGGCCUGCGGCCGAUUAGCUAGACGGUGGGGUAACGGCCUACCGUGGCGAUGAUCGGUAGCUGGUCUGAGAGGACGGCCAGCCACACGGGGACUGAGACACGGCCCCGACUCCUACGGGAGGCAGCAGCAAGGAAUCUUCCGCAAUGGGCGAAAGCCUGACGGAGCAACGCCGCGUGUGGGAUGACGCCUUUCGGGGUGUAAACCACUUUUCUCAGGGAAGAAGUUCUGACGGUACCUGAGGAAUAAGGACCGGCUAACUACGUGCCAGCAGCCGCGGUAAUACGUAGGGUCCGAGCGUUGUCCGGAGUUACUGGGCGUAAAGCGCGCGCAGGCGGCGGUGUAAGCAUGGCGUGAAAGCCCCAGGCUCAACCUGGGAGGGUCGUCGUGGACUGCAC